rnacentral:rRNA from 1 species
GACGAACGCUGGCGGCGUGCUUAACACAUGCAAGUCGAACGGGAUUUAGUAAACAGACCCCUCGGUGGAAGAUUACUAAUGAGAGUGGCGAACGGGUGAGUAACGCGUGAGCAACCUGCCUAUGACAGUGGGAUAGCCUCGGGAAACCGGGAUUAAUACCGCAUAAAAUCGUAGAAACACAUGUUUUAACGGUCAAAGAUUUAUCGGUCAUAGAUGGGCUCGCGUCUGAUUAGCUAGUUGGUGAGAUAACAGCCCACCAAGGCGACGAUCAGUAGCCGGUCUGAGAGGAUGAACGGCCACAUUGGAACUGAGACACGGUCCAAACUCCUACGGGAGGCAGCAGUGGGGAAUAUUGCACAAUGGGGGAAACCCUGAUGCAGCGACGCCGCGUGAACGAAGAAGGUAUUCGUAUCGUAAAGUUCUGUCCUAUGGGAAGAUAAUGACAGUACCAUAGAAGAAAGCUCCGGCUAAAUACGUG